UCAGUGGUUCUCUUGCACUACAAGUUUUCAACAGCAGAGGUCAUCAUAGAGUUUGCGAUGCAUUGAAUGAAUGAACCUUUUUCCUAUACAAUUGGCUGGAAAGCUUCACUUUGCCAUCACUGCAGACAGAGAAGGUGGAUCAAUCCAAAUCGGCAGGCAAAGGUUAACGGAGGGACAGAAAAGGGUCAAAACACGGGAAGGCACACUCAGAAGAAUCGCGGUCCCUCCUCGAUGAGGACCGUCCGGCCGUCCUCCAGCAGCAUGUUGGGGCCUGGCUCGCCCUCAAGGUCCACGACCCCGAUCACACCCACCACGCUGUCUGAGUUGAGCUCCUGGCAACAGAGACAUAGACUUCUGUUAGUUUCCUUCUGUCACCUUUCACCAAAACAUUAAUCAUACUCCUACACCCUUUUUUAUUGAUCCAAUUAAACUACAUAUGUGUACGCUCUUUUUUAAUUUGUUUUUUUAUUGUCACUUUAAAUCUUUUUUUUUUAAUGAAUGCCUGUACAUCAGCAACUACCAAGUAGGCCGACCUCGACGAGUGUGAACGGCGUGGAUUGGAGUUGUUCUCCGUAGUCCGAGCUGGUGGCUUUGAGAUGGGAAAUCUCUACGUGCGUCCCGAUCUGGAGCUUCUUUUCCACCGCUGCCUCCCUCCACAGACACACCGGCAUUUGCGUUUCCCCCUGUGAAGUAAAAUAAUAUUUUAAAUGUCUGUCUAAUGGUCUGUCUGCGUCGCUCUCUCAAUAUAAAGUAGAUCGCUUACCUGCUGCAGCUUGAUGUGGCGCAUCGGGAAGCUCUCCCUUCCCUUGGUGAUCUUUUUCACCGUGGACAUCUGAACAAGAUGAUUUAUGGGUUCAUUAAAAUCGCAUGCCAAUAUGCACCAUUUCCCGUAGUUAAUCUAGCAUAAUCGAAAAAUGUACUUACUUCGACCACUUCCCCCUGCACAGUCAGGAGGUCCUUGGCGUCCCUGCAGGGACGGGGGACGGAUUAAAGCCUCCGCCUGCGCUCUGAGCUCUUGGGAGACGGUGAGAGGAGCGCUCCUCCUAAAACACCGUCUCCUUGGUGAUAUUAAUCAUGUACGGGGGAGACUGCCCUCUCAGGGAAUGCCCCCGCAGCAUGUAAUGCCCGCCCGCUUUAAAUUUGUGGGCAAAUUCUCCGUAGGCCGUAAAUUUGGCCACCGUCUUCCCGUCCGACACCGAUGCCAAGACGUUGUUUUUGAUUGUCACCGGUCUCGCGCCAGUGGAGUCAAACUCCCAAGCGACAUCCUUGCGCUGCUCCACGAGCGCCACCACGCACAGGUGGAUAACUGGGGGUCUGUGGUAAGGAGUCGGGGGCUUGGUCCACAAAAGAUCGUGUAGGGUCAUUAUUCUGAAAUAAUACAAGAAACACAAGUUAAAUUGUGUUCAGUUAAUUGAACAAUACGUUUUUAAAAAUUAAUUAUGUAACGUGUCUUAUAUUUCACAAUGGGUUGCCUCUUUAGCAUAUUAUAAAACGAUACAUAUACAUAUAAACGUGGACUUAAUUCAUGUCAGUAUUGUUAAUAUUAUUCAUAUUACAUAUCGCAUAUAGGAGGAACAGCACUUACCUCUCUCAACUUUGCGUGUCAAAGAUCGUCCGUCUGCUCGCUAAGGCUUUUUAUAUUGUCGCUUUGGACGUAGCAACAGGUGAGUUUCGGCUCUUCAUAGGAGAGAAAUGUUCAAUACUGACAGUGACUGGUAAACUAACAAACACAGACACAUGCGCACACAUGAAAGGUCCAAUGCGGUGAGAUGAAAAACACUCAGUUGGUGCGCAUUUUAUCUCCAUAGUGCACUUAGUUCACUUCAACUCUGUUUUGUACUUUUGUACAGGUGAUACACAUUUUUAUUCACUGAGGCUGUUUUGGGUCAAAUUGAUCUGAAUCUAUCAAUUUAUUUGAGAUCUCCCAGUGUCGAUGAAAACAAGAAAAUUAUGGUUUUAGGGAAUCUUCAAUAUGUUGAACUGUACAGGCGAUGCUUGUGUGUAAUUUUCCUGGGACAAAGGUGACAGAGGUCAAGGGGGACCUCCACACCGUGACAAGAACUGUCUGUGUUCACACAACAUUUCUCCAGCUUCCCGCAGAGACACCUGCGGUCUUUCAAGGGGCACGGGGGUCUCCAAAGAGUGACAUAGUAAAACAAGAUAGGAGUGAUCAUAUACGGUGCACAAAGGGAGGUGGGAAGAUAGAAAACAAGCCAUCGUCCUUGACACUCCAACGAUACUGCCAAAGGAGAACCGCCCGAUGGCCUUUUGUAAUCUUCAAACCACAGCAUCAACCUACAAUGCCUUUGUUGUAUGCAGCAAGCUGGAUCUUACAUGGGGGGCAAAAGGAACUGGAGGAAGUUUUUCUUGGAGGAGCUCAGAGAGGCUCUUGUGACUCUUUACAUGCCAAAGCGACAACACCUUCCCCACACAGGGAUUUUAUGUAUAAUGUAAAACAGCACAUGAUCAUGUGUUAAAAAAAACUCUCCCUGCUCUUAAACAUUUAUUAGGGGCUAAUUGUACAUUCAUUUAUGAGACAGGCUAUUUAGACAUUCUAACUGCAUUUCGUUGCCUCAGUACUUGUACCCUGUGCAAUGACAAUAAAGUUGAAUCUAAUCUAAAAAAAUAGACGUGUAGCUUAAAAUGUGGUACAGACAUGAGGUAAUUCUUGGACCGGGUAAAAAUGGACCUGAAACCUAUUGUGAAGGUAUGCAAUAUGAACAUUGUGUAAGGGUUAAGAAUAUGUGCGGUUUUAUUAUUAAUGAAAUAAGCUGGCUGACUCUGAAGUAAGCUUUGUGGUUGAUGUGACACCGUACUGCUCUAUCUAAGAGAAGUUAAUGUUAAACAUUAACAAGUUACGUUAGCGUUACAACAAAGUCAGCGUUAGCCGCAAUGCUAGUGUUAGCCAAUGGUUAGCGUCAUGUUCACACUUAAAGCACCGCAUUUGUCUUACGGCGGAGUAUAGAACGUCCGCACAUGGUGGCCAUCUUGGUACAGUCAGCUCGCUCACCCAUAACGUUGUGUUGCCAGUGGUACAUGUACUUAAAUUAACUUAAUUUUAAACGGUUUGUUAUAAACGUCAGAGAUGUAGUUCUGAUACUGGAUACUUAUGAAUAAUGCUCUGUUUAAUAUCAUUUUUGUAUGAAAACCCAUGGUUAUAAUUAUUCAUACGUAUGCAGUGUCAUAAAUACAUCUCUUUUAACAUGCAGCAUUUCUUGAUGAAUAUGUGUAAAGGAAAAUAUUUACACUACUAAUCUUUACACUACUCUUUACUACUUUAGAACAUUAUUCUAAUUUUAGAACAUAACAUUAUUAUUAUGAUGUAUGCAGUGUCAUAACUACAUCUGUUAAAAAUCGAUUGAAAAUUGAGCAAGUUAUUAUUUUAAGUACAUGUACCACUAACAACACGUUAUGGGUGAGCGAGCUGAUCCUACCAAGAUUCGUUUAGUGCAAUUAAAUCAGCGCAAUGUAAUUUUAUUUUCAGGUUCCGGACUCUUCCUGGUGUGUUGCUCACACAGGCAGUGCAGCGUCUUGACUCAGCUGGAUUCCCAUCCCAGAAUCCCUUCCGGUAACACAGGCCUUAUAUUGGGAAAUAUUUGCAGGACAUUGAGAGAAACUGGAAAGACUUUCGUAGCUCCAUAAAUUCAUAGAGUACCAGCUUUUAAUUGUGGAUUAUUAAUAUACUAGGAAUGAGAACUUCUAACCCUUUUCUGAAAUACAAAUUCUGUUUAUUAAAUGAAUCAGUAUGGCUAUCAUAAAAGGAAAACCACAUGGAAAAGAGAUCUGGCAGCAGCGGCAACACUUAAACUACUCGUGUGAGAGAUCUAGACAACAGCACUCAAUUGAUACAUUUAAGAACAAACAUGUUUUUCAUAUAAAUAUCUGCACUAUUACCUGGUUUAUAUUUUGGUUAUGUGAGCAAAACCUUCACUGAUCUUUCACCUUGAGAAGUUACUUAAAUUGUUGUUCAACCUGCUGUCUAAUGGGUGUUUCAUUGUGUCUUGCAGGUGUCCUGCUGUCCAGGGUCUCUCUCCCCCAUCAUAUUGCCUCUCUGUCUUUCCUUUACCUUCUAUCCACUCUGUCUAAACAUUGGUGCCUCAAGCUUUCCUGUCAAAUCUACCGCUCUGUCUUUGCAUUUGGAAAUUCAUUCUUUGUGUCCCCCUCUAUCCCACUCUGAUCUGUGAUGAAACUUUGAAACAUUUCUGAAAAACCUUGAGGAACCUGAUUCUGCACCAAAACCUGGAACCCUGACUAAUAACCAAAUUGAUUUGGUUUUGCUAUGGUUACAAGUACCUGUCUGUUGAUGAAUACUCUGAGAGUCUCUCGCGCUCUCUGUCUCUCCUCUGAUCACUCACCUUGACUCGGGUUAUUGGUACCUGAUCUAUCUUUUUUGGACAAUCUGAGAGAUUCUCUUCUCUCACGCUCACCUCUUUCAAUCUCCUAUCUACAACACAUACACCUAUCUGUAGACAACUAUUACUGCUUUUACAAAUUGGAGAAAACAUUUGAUAUAUUUUUCUUUUGAGAUUAUAAACUGUAAAGAAACCGUACAACGUCCACAAUCUUUGGUUGUAAUUGACAACGGUUACACAUUUUAUACUUAAGAAUUUAAUCUGGUGAUUUUCAAAAUAUAUAAUUUCUUAUAAAAGGUGCAUAAUUCACAAGACGUGUACUCUUAAUACACAAAAAUACAUUGGAGUGAAAAUCCAUAUUAGAGAAGAGUUUUUAGUUGCUGUGGACUCCGUUGGUUUGUUUUGCUAGCUGACACCUUUACACUGUUAACUUGACUAGUCUACAUACAAAUAAAAAGAAUUUCACUAUUAUUAAUAAUUAUUUAGUGUGUUAAGUAUUUUUUUCAUGUAAACUUACAUUGUUUCAAUCAUUCAGUCUAUGCAUUUUGAUGUCUAACAUCCUGAAAUAAAAUACAAGCAUCUAUAAGGAGGAAAAGGAUUUAUUUGGAAUUGCUGCUUCCUGUCUACAGACCCAACAUUCUUCAGAAGGAUUCAGCUGCCACGACAACUGUUCCCGAUUUGAAUAUAAACCAUAUCAUAGUAAUAAUAUUAGAUAAUUAUAGAAGAUAUUCCUUGCUGGUAAGUGCAAACAGUUAAGGAUCAGAAGAGAUCUGGCAUUGGACUACUGGUUGUGGAUUGGUGCAAAAUGUGUAAUUAAAUUUACAUAUUCCACAAAACUUUGAAGUGAACAGAAUAUUUUCGUCCUAGUGCGUCUAGAAUUGUACUACAUACCAUUUCUGCACUGUAGAUUUGGUUCCCUCAGUAAAUCAUUUUAACUUUUUUAUCAGAGUCAUUUCUAACUUUGUCAAGUCUUAAGAGUUUUAAUUAAGUACAUUUCAUUAUUAAAAAGAGAUUUAGGUGGCUCACAAUCAUUUAAAAUAGCCUAUUUUUAUUUGGUUGUUGUCCAGUGUUAAACUUUAGAUUUUAUAUUGAAUAAAUAUUUCCAAAGAUUUGUCAAGGUUUCUUCUAGAAGUAUAUUUAACAAAUAUAUACUGUCAGUAAGUUCACAGAUCCAGUAUAUACCUGCUCACAGUAUUUAUGAACUAAAAUUGUUUGAUUUAGGGUUUUAGAUAUAGCCUUAAUAUAAUAAGACUAAGGAAUAUACUCAAAGUUGCUGUCACUGGAUUUGACAAUCAAAUAUAGAUUUUUUGACAUACACCAAAACAUAAAUAAUAUAGUAUUUCAGGAACAGUCAAAUUUGAGCAUUGAUAUUGAUCUCUUUAUAGUGUUACGUUUGACAUCACAUUUUCCUGGCUGGGAUUUUCUACAAAGUCAUUUACUUGGAUACUGAAAUGGCUUUUGGUAUAUCAUAACAAAUAGUAUAGUUUUGAAGCAUUUAAACUGCUAAGUGUUACCAAAAAGCAGACAUACGUUUAAUUUAUCCUUACAUCCCGCUUUGUUAAUAAUACUAUUUUACCUUUAAUAUUGUGUUUAGUACCUUGGUUGUGUACAAUACAAGUAAAACAAUAACAUUUUUGGUUUUGACACACAACAAUGCCAAGAAAGAGUAAGAGGUCACAAGCUCAGAGCCUGCGCUGGCAGCGGACCAAAGAGAAUCCCUGUGCAACAACGACUGACGGAGCAGAAUGUGUUGGUCCUGAGAGCAGUGGAGCGGUAAAGAUGUCUGCAGAGUCUCAUCCUGGAAGUGUGAAACAGGGAGUUCCAAGUGAGUCACAGGUAUCAUAUGCAGACGCAGUAAAGAGUGGACGUCACAGUGAGGAUCCAUGUACAGCAGGACCUUCUAAUGCAGACCGUGUAGACCCUGAAGAUCAGCCUUCUGAACAACAUGUCCGUGCAUCCCACAGCCAGGCUUCAAUCAGAUACGGCAGAUCCAGAAAUCGGCAGUGCACCUGUAACUCACUGACCUUUCUUGCAUUCCUCCAUGAGAAUGAAAGCAUCACCGGAGCAGACCUGGACCAUGUUUUGGAUAAAGGUAACACGAUGUAUAGAGAGACCAGGAAACGAGUCACCGAUCACAUCUAUCUGACCACCGACGAGCUCACUGAUGAAGUUCCUGCACGCAGCACUACACACCAUGCAGACAUGACUCAGCUUUCAAGGUACGGCACAUUAGGAGAACCUUUACCUGGAGCUGUGGACAACUUUCUGGACCUGGAGUCAGGACUCAGCUGCUUGUUGUCAGAUGUGAAGUACGCUCUGCUGUUGAUGAGACUCUUGUGUAUCGCAGUGUUCAGAACCAAGUCAGGCAGAUACGGUUUCUUUGACCCACACUCCAGAACAGCCAGAGGUUUGCCCCUACCAGCCGGUUCACGCACACCAGGUACUGCUGUCAUGGUGACAUUCUCACGUCUCAGUGACAUGAUUGACAGGCUCAAGAAGUCCCACAGAAUGAUGGACACACAGUCCUCCUGUAACUAUGAGUUGAAACCUGUGGAGUUCUACAAUGUGAACACAGUAAACCUGAACGAUGGUCUCCCAAACACAGACUGCAGACCUACAGCUGUCCCUGUGGAGGAAUCAAACUCACCUACAGCCACUGAUCAGACCAGUUCACCUGAAAUGACUCCUCACACUCCAGCUGUAAAACAACCAGAGGUCUUCAUCACAAUAUCAUCACAUGAUGCUCCUCACAAUGAAUCAGAAUCAACUGCUCAAGUGAUAAACCUCAGUGAUCCAUCUGACGACAUAUUGACAGCAGAGUCCAAUGACAUCAUCUUCACAUCAUCGGUGAGACAAAAAGAGGUCAUAAACUCCAAUGAACCAGAACUAUCAAGUCAAUCCACUUCCCUUCCAUCACAUGAUGCUUCUCUCAAUGAACCAAGUAUUUCUUCCUCAGUAGAAAAUACUGUUGCUAGUGAUCUACCUGGUGUUCUAUUACAGGGAAUCUCAUGCAAACUAACAAAGUGUGAUAAAAACAAAAGGAGAAAAUUAAAGAGAAGACUGAUCUCAGAGAAAAAUCAACAAAGGCAAGAGAUUAAAAAAAGCAAAGAAAGGGAAAAAUAUGCCUCAAAUAAAGCGUAUAAAGCAGAAAAAAGAUCUCAUGCAAGAAUGCAAUAUCAGAACAACCCUGAAUUUAGACAAAAGAAAAUAAAUAAUACAAAAGACAAUGUUGAUUUUCAACAAAAACGGAAAGAGUACAUUUCCUCCCAGUACAGAG
ensembl:lncRNA